AAUUAAUCUUGGAAAUGACAUCCCUUCAUUUUUGUCCUUUUUAGAAAUGGGUCACUAGACCAGUCAAUACUAAAGGAGAGUUACGUAAAGUGGUGGGAUAUAGGCUAUGGAGAUUGUUGGGGCCCUCUUGGGAGUUGCCCAUCACAACUGAUUACCACUGUACUCUCAGUGUGCAGAAUAAUUCCUGGAAUUUAAUAAAUGAAUGAAUAAAAAAUGAAUCUCCCAUGGAUUAGUACUGGAAUCUGUCCUAAUUCAACAUUUUGCCAAUGAUGAAGAAAAGUAGUGAAUAAAAUCACACUCAAAGCAGUGAAAUUUGAGUCAUUCAAACCAAAGAGAUAACCAGUAGGAAAAUCAGGUUGUGUGAAUAAGCAAAAAAGUAGUGGCACAGCCACAGUUUCUUUACCUGUAAAAGAUAGGAUGUAGUUGUACAUGUUGGAGAUUUAAUGAGGUAACUCACAUGGAAUAUUUAAUAUAGGGCCUCACAAAUCAAAGGUACUGAAUAAAUGUUAGUAAUUGCUCUUAGGAUAAAAGUAAGGAAAGUACAUUUAAGAAAAAUGAUACAAAUUUUAUUUUUAAGAAGAUUUGAGAUAUGAGAUGCAGUCAAAAAAUAAUCUAUAAAUCACUUUGAACUGUUUACUAAUAAUAUUAGCUUAAUAUGAACCUGCAGCCAAAAAGACUAAUAAAAUGUUGGGGAUCAUCAUUUCAUCAUGUACUGAAAACAAACUAGAAAGGUUUUCCUAUUUUAUAUAAAAUUAAGACAUCUUUGAAUGUAUGUAAUGAUGCAUUUCUAGUUUGUAUAAUCCAUGAAAGCUUAUAUGGAAAGGGAUGUGUGCAGCUUUGGAAUGGAAAGAUUCUCAGUAUGCCUUGGGGUUAAAGUGUCUGAAAAGUUAAAGACAGGGCACUGAACCUGACCUAUUACAUAAUGGGAUUAUUGAAGUUAUGGAGAGAGUAAGCACAGAAUUAUUCAUGAAAUCCGAGAAUGUUAAUACUAUAGGACAGACUUCAAGUUUGGAAAAGUACAAAUAGAAUCAGAGAUUGAAAUGCUACUCAGUAUUUUAAGAAUGUUUACCUUGAGAGGGAGCAAAGAUUUAGAGAUUAAGGAGGUGGUUGAGAAAUUCAUGGAAGAUACAUCAAAAUAGACUACAAAGUUAUAUAUAUUUGAGGUUGGCAUCAUGGAGGAAAACCAGAGGUCUUUCAACCUAUUUAUUAAUGUCUCUUUUCGCAACUGAAUAGGCAGGAUGGAUUGCAGCUUUGAUGAAGCCACUUCAAAAGCAUGAGUAGCAUUCCAAUAAGAUAUCAUUCUUAUUCUAUUAGUGCUAGAGUGACAGUCAUUGUUAUACUGCUGGUCUUCAUGGAGAAUCAGCAUUAACCAGCUAUAUGCAAAUCUCUAUAUAUAUGUUAGUAAACUUUGGCUUCCUGCACUUUGACUACUAAAUAUUCCAAAGACAAACCUACUGUUUUGGGAGCAGAACAGUUCCUCCAAUAUCUAGUAUUGUGGGUUAAAUUCUGGUCCCCUAAAAGGCAUGCCCACAUCUCAAUCCUCAGAAGUGGGAAUGUGAUCUUAUUUGGAAAAAGAGUCUUUGCAGAUCCAGUUGGAUGACUCUGUAGAUGAGAUGAUCUUGGAUCAUCCAGGUUUAUCAUCCUGGAUUAUCCUAAAUACAAUGACAAAUAGAGAGAGAAGACACAGACACAAAGGGAAGGCCAUGUGAAGAAGGAAGCACGGACUGCAGUUAUAUAGCCACAAGUCAAGGAAUGUUUGAAACAAAUACUAGAAGCUGGAAGAGCAAAAGUAAUCCUCCCCUAGAGCAUUCAGAGUGGGUGUGGCACUGCUGAUUCAUUGAUUUCAGGUUUCCAUUUCUAGCCUCCAGAACUUGGAAUGGUUUAUAAAGAACAUUUAAACAAGACAGCCUCAGAUUUAAACCUAGACUUCAUCUAUAUAAAUUGUGUAAUAUAAAAAAGCAACUUACUUUACAUCCCUGAUCUUCAGGCUCAUCAUUAGCAAAAUGAUGGUAAGUUCUCAUUGUAGGAUCACUGUGGGAUAUGGAGAUAUGUAAAAUACCUCACUUGCUAUAAGCAUUACAACAGCAGAUUAUUAUUCUGAUCAAUAUUCAAUACUUAACCUGUUAAUAAUAAAUUCAAAAGUGUGCCACACAUCUAUAAAAGUUAAAAACUGUUGUUUUCUUUGAGAAUCAACAUUUUAGCAAGGUAUUAAUUAGAGCAUAAGGGAUUGAUUAAUGUGGAAACUGGUUGUGCAACACCAAAUGUUUCAACAAACCUUUAUUUCAAACUGACUAUUCAUGUCAUUUUAAGCAAACUCCUCGGUUGUCAGUGGAACCAUAUUCAGUCAGGUUUCUUUACUGUCUCAUCUUUAAUAUCCUUCCUAGUUUCUUAUAGACAAAUAAUGUAAAGCAAUGCCACAGUAUUGCUGGAAAAUAUUUGCAUCUAGCUUGGGCUUAAGACAUCCAUAUAUAGAAGCAAAAGCUGUGGUAAUAGAAUUUUCCUAAAUGUUCAUCUAAGAGAAUUGACAACAGCAUAAUAAUCUCAAGGACAAAGUUUUGAAAUGUGUACUGAUCAUGAACACUUUUGGUUAUCCCUGACAUUAAGACAGGCAAAAAAUAAAAGGAGCUCUGACAAUAAUUUUCCUAAAAGGACAAGUUAGGAAUCAUGCAGUUCGGGUAUUUCAUAUUCUGGAAUAAGUCCUUAAUACCAGAAAAUUGAAACUCUAGUAAGAAUUAUUCAAAAUACACACAAUGACAGUGAAAUAAAUUUUCAAGAAUUGCUGUUUUUUACUUUUCUAAGGACAAACUUGGCAAAUAUUAUUUCAAAAAUUUAGAAAUUAAAGUGAAAAAUAAUAUAUUAGCUGUAAUACUAUCUGUGGCUAUUAAAAUUUAUUUAUUUAUUCAUACACUCAUUCAUUAGCUCAGCAAAUAUUUAUGAAAUGCCUAGUCAAUACCAGGCAUUAUCUUUGGCACUAGAGAUACAGUCUUGAAUGAGCUAUACCAUUCUCUCCAUUCUCUGUCCUUUUUUAUUUUUAGGGCUGUGGCAGUGGCAUAUGGAAGUUCCCAGGCCAGGGCUCAAAUCAGAGCUACAGCU
ensembl:lncRNA